AAGAGCCCUAGAAACGAAGUCCUUUGUUCAUAAGCCAUGUACAGUGCAGACAACAGCAAAAGCAGCAAUCCAUUUCCCUGCACACUGCCAGCAAGCUUAACCCUGAGUUGGAAAGACCAUACUCUGGAGAGGCGAAAGGAAAUUCAUUCUCUGAGCUAACUCAGACCUGUACUUCC
rnacentral:sRNA from 1 species